UCCUCCCUCAAACCCCGGGUUUGGUGUUGGACCCAAGUUUUUGGCUAUUAAAAACUUGGUCCUAAAGACAAUGACGGCGUCCGUGGGACCCUCGGUGCAACGAGCUUUUAGGAGCACGCGUCGAGUUUUUAAAGGUUCCUUCGGGCCGGUCUAACCCCUUUUUUCUAA
rnacentral:misc_RNA from 2 species